rnacentral:rRNA from 1 species
CCUACGGGAGGCUGCAGUGGGGAAUUUUGGACAAUGGGCGCAAGCCUGAUCCAGCUAUUCCGCGUGUGGGAUGAAGGCCCUCGGGUUGUAAACCACUUUUGUAGAGAACGAAAAGACACCUUUUAAUAAAGGGUGUUGCUGACGGUACUCUAAGAAUAAGCACCGGCUAACUACGUGCCAGCAGCCGCGGUAAUACGUAGGAGGCGAGCGUUAUCCGGAAUGACUGGGCGUAAAGGGUGCGUAGGUGGUUUGACAAGUUGGUAGCGUAACUCCGAGGCUCAACCUCGGCACUACUACCAAAACUGUCGGACUUGAGUGCAGGAGGGGCAAUUGGAAUUCCUAGUGUAGCGGUGGAAUGCGCAGAUAUUAGGAGGAACACCGGUGGCGAAGGCGAAUUGCUGGACUGUAACUGACACUGAGGCACGAAAGCGUGGGGAGCAAACAGGAUUAGAUACCCGUGUAGUC